ensembl:lncRNA
CUGUAUCAAAGAGAAAUUUUGGAUUGUUUUUGUUCGCCUCAAUCAGGUUGGAGAAAUAAGCUGAUCGAGCAGACAUUCACACAACACUCAUGCUGGUCCAAUGAGGUGGACGGACAGAACAAAGGUACACCUCCCUGGUUCAAGAAAGUUUGAAAACAAGCUCACAAAAUUAUAUAUUUGAGGGACUGAAGCCAGGACCAUUUUUGGGACUCGAGAUAAAUCGGUGCCAGUCUGUGCUCUUAUGCAAUUCGAUUCAGAAACGGGGAUGUAAUCCGUCUCUGUGGAGUUGAAGGAAAUAAUGGAUUCUAGAACGGGUUGUUUCUUUCAGGACUGUGUUGACUUAAAACUGGAAGGCUCACACUUGUCGUGGAAUACUUUUUGGGAACUUCUCAUUUGAAUUGCCUAUUACAGAGGAUAUCCAUGGAUGGUUUUCAUGAUGUGUUUUGGGUUUUGUAAUGAAGCUCCACCCUCCUUUAAUGGUCAUAUGCCAAAGGAAUACAAUAAAAGGAGAAGCUGAUUUAGUAUUUGUUCUCCUCCCCUUAGGGCCUUGGAAGUAUUCUAACACCAAUAUGAAACUGCUGUUCAGUGAACUCUAGGGCACUUUAUAAUCUUUAUAACCCUCUCUAUUUCUCUCUCUAUCUCUCUCUCUCUCUCUCUCUCACUCUGUCUCUCAAAACUAUAUGGACAACUGAAUAGUAUAUUCAAAAAUUAUUAAAUGAAAUACAUCCAUUUUGGAUGGUGGUGGGGGGAAAAAAUAAAUAUGAAUUUGGCCAUGGAUAUCACAACCUGGCAUGGGCUCUCAAGAUGAGGUCAAAAGAAGCACCUGGAUUGGUUUGGUUUUAUUACAUGAACUUCUAGCACAAGUACUGCAUUGUGGUUUAAUGAGAUAAGUUUCAUUCUGACACAAAUGUUACAGAGAAGAAACUGACCCUGGUUUUGCCAAUUGAAAAGAUGGUCACACAAAUCAAAUACUCUUUUCCCUUCUUGUUGGUUGUGUAUGUAUUUGUAUGUGAGAUAAACCUUCACUCUUCUCUGAUUUGAUACCCAUAUUUCCUUUGAAUUAUGAAACAGUAAGAAAAAAACAUGAGACAAGAUUUUAUGCUUUCAUAGGUACAAUAUGUGGA